CACAGAUUUACAAGUAGGAACCAUUUCUGACACCUAUACAUUGUUGUGCCAUUGUUGAUUAGGAUAUACAAACAAUGGUUUGAUAGUUCGCUGCAUCCUCCCUCAGGUGCACGUGCUGAAGAGAUGCAGCAACAACUAGUUGGUGCCAUUGGUGGUCAACACACAUCUUCUCCUGCUGCAGUAUGGUUGUCAUAUGCUUAUUGAGCACGCUGAUAUGUUUCAACUGGAAUGCUUUUCCAACAGCCUUGAAGGAGUUCCCACAUAUGCUGAGCAAUUUUUGGCCGCUUUUCCUUCACUCUGCAGUUCAACUCAUCCCAAACCAUCUCAUUUGGGUUGAGGUCAGGUGAUUGUGGGGGCCAGGUCAUCUGAUGCAGCACUCCAUCACUCCCCUUCUUGGUCAAAUGGCCCUUAAACAGCCUAUAGGUGUGUUAGGUCAUUGUCAUGUUGAAAAAUAAACGAUAGUUCCACUAAGCGCAAACCAGAUGGGAUGGUGUAACGCUGCAGAAUGCCGUUGGAGCCAUGCUGGUUGUGUUUUCCUUAAAUAAAUCAUAGAUAGUGUCACUAGCAUCUAAUGGUAUGUUUUUUUGUUUUUGAGUUAAUUGAUUUCAGUUAAAUGGUAAUGUGCUUAUAGGGCUUUUUUUAAAGUAUCGAGGUAACUAAGUGAGAUAUUUUGAAUGUCUGGCCUGAUAACUAUA
ensembl:lncRNA